rnacentral:rRNA from 1 species
AUUGAACGCUGGCGGCAGGCUUAACACAUGCAAGUCGAGCGGAGAUGAGGUGCUUGCACCUUAUCUUAGCGGCGGACGGGUGAGUAAUGCUUAGGAAUCUGCCUAUUAGUGGGGGACAACAUUCCGAAAGGAAUGCUAAUACCGCAUACGUCCUACGGGAGAAAGCAGGGGAUCUUCGGACCUUGCGCUAAUAGAUGAGCCUAAGUCGGAUUAGCUAGUUGGUGGGGUAAAGGCCUACCAAGGCGACGAUCUGUAGCGGGUCUGAGAGGAUGAUCCGCCACACUGGGACUGAAACACGGCCCAGACUCCUACGGGGGGCAGCAGUGGGGAAUAUUGGACAAUGGGGGGAACCCUGAUCCAGCCAUGCCGCGUGUGUGAAGAAGGCCUUAUGGUUGUAAAGCACUUUAAGCGAGGAGGAGGCUACUGAGACUAAUGCUCUUGGAUAGUGGACGUUACUCGCAGAAUAAGCACCGGCUAACUCUGUGCCAGCCGCCGCCGUAAAAC